AGACCGUGGUGGUGUGCCUAACACAUGCAAGUCGGCGGACUCAUUUUGAAGUAGCAAUACGGAGAGAUGAGUUAGUGGCGGACGGGUGAGUAACACGUAGGUAACCUACCCUUAAGUGGGGGACAACUCAGGGAAACUUGAGCUAAUACCGCAUAAGACCACGGGCUGAGAUGCCAGUGGGAAAAGGAGCGAUCCACUUAAGGAUGGGCCUGCGGCCUAUCAGGUAGUUGGUGAGGUAACGGCCCACCAAGCCAGAGACGGGUAGCCGGGCUGAGAGGUUGAACGGCCACACUGGAACUGAGAUACGGUCCAGACUCCUACGGGAGGCAGCAGUGGGGAAUAUUGCGCAAUGGGGGAAACCCUGACGCAGCGACGCCGCGUGGAGGAUGAAGGCCUUCGGGUUGUAAACUCCUUUUGUAGGGGAAGAUAAUGACGGUACCCUGCGAAUAAGCCACGGCUAACUCUGUGCCAGCAGCCGCGGUAAGACAGAGGUGGCGAGCGUUGUUCGGAAUUACUGGGCUUAAAGGGCGAGUAGGCGGUGGAGCAAGUCUGGGGUGGAAUCCUACGGCUUAACCGUAGAACUGCCUUGGAAACUGUUUUACUUGAGUCAGUGAGGGGAGGGCGGAAUUCCUGGUGUAGCGGUGAAAUGCGUAGAUAUCAGGAGGAAGGCCUGUGGCGAAAGUGGCCCUCUGGCACUGUACUGACGCUGAGGCGCGAAAGCGUGGGGAGCAAACAGGAUUAGAUACCCUGGUAGUCCACGCCCUAAACGGUGGGCAUUAGGUGUAGGUGUCGGUGGGCAUCUGUGCAGUAGGGAAACCGUUAAAUGCCCCGCCUGGGGAGUACGGCCGCAAGGUUA
rnacentral:rRNA from 1 species